UACGGGGGGGGCAAGCGUUGUUCGGAAUUACUGGGCGUAAAGGGCUCGUAGGCGGCCAACUAAGUCAGACGUGAAAUCCCUCGGCUUAACCGGGGAACUGCAUCUGAUACUGGAUGGCUUGAGUUCGGGAGAGGGAUGCGGAAUUCCAGGUGUAGCGGUGAAAUGCGUAGAUAUCUGGAGGAACACCGGUGGCGAAGGCGGGUCUCUGGGCCGAUACUGACGCUGAGGAGCGAAAGCAUGGGUAGCGAACAGG
rnacentral:rRNA from 1 species